UCUUAUCGCGAGUGGCUGAGGGACUGGCCCGAUGACGCCCGGCAACCUGCCCGUAAGGGAGUGUGGUGCCAAAACCAGAGACCGGCUU
rnacentral:ncRNA from 1 species